rnacentral:rRNA from 1 species
AUGCCGCGGCCGGAGGUGCAGGCGCCGCCGGAGAUAUUCUACAACGAGGCGGAGGCGCGCAAGUACACCACCUCCUCCCGNNNNNNNNNNNNNCAGGCGAGGAUCUCCGAGAGGGCGCUGGAGCUGCUGGCGCUCCCCGACGACGGCGUCCCCAAGAUGCUGCUCGACAUCGGGUGCGGCUCCGGGCUUAGCGGCGAGACGCUGACGGAGCACGGGCACCGCUGGAUCGGCUGCGAUAUCUCGCGGUCCAUGCUUGAUGUUGCUCUGGAGCGGGAGACGGAGGGUGACCUCCUGCUCGCAGACAUGGGCGAGGGCCUAGGCUUGCGCCCAGGAGUUAUGGAUGGUGCAAUUAGUAUUUCAGCAGUCCAGUGGUUAUGCAAUGCUGACAAGUCUUCUCAUGAACCAAGAUUACGGUUAAAGGCUUUCUUUGGAUCACUAUAUAGAUGCUUAGCAAGGGGAGCAAGGGCCGUUCUACAGUUUUAUGCUGAUAAUGUGAAACAAACCGAAAUGCUCGUGUCUUUUGCCAUGAAAGCUGGAUUUGCUGGUGGAGUGGUCAUUGACUGGCCUCAUAGUUCGAAAGCAAAGAAGUCCUACCUUGUCCUCACUUGUGGUACAUCUUCUGUCGCAUCUCUUCCAAAGGGGAAAGGUGAAAACGGUGAGAUGUGCAGCAGUGAUGAUGACGAUGAUGGUGAUGAAAGCAACGAUGACCAAACAGUUGGCACAUAUGGACGGAACAGGUCGAACAAGAGGCAGAAAGUGAACAAGAAGAACGGCAGGGGCAAGGAUUGGCUGCUGAGGAAAAAGGAGCAGAUGAGGAAGAGAGGACGCGACGUCCCCGCGGACACGAAAUACACGGGGCGGAAGCGGAAAACCCGCUUCUAA